CCCUGUUUGUGCUGGAUACUGUGUUAAGAAGUGUGUAACAAAACAAAGUCCUUGACCUGAGGAAUCUCACUGCUCUGUCUUGUGGAAGGUUUCCUAAUGGAAGGCAACUUGAAAGAGGCAACACAAUUUCAGUCAGUGUAUAGAAAUUGAGGACUAAAUAUACUUGGGCGAACCUGGCUGGAGCACUCACAAAGAAGGUACAAAGAUCUGCAGUGCAAGUUCUCUAGAGGCUGCCUGAGAAGAGCCCCAUCCAGCAAGCAAUAAGAAAAGCUGCUCACCAGUCUUGUGGUUUGUGGAUGAGGCCAGAACCCAUUGAUCUGCACACUGGAGGGAAGGCACUAAUCACUGACUGGAAUUUGGAAAUGUGCUGAGAGGUGACACUGUGAAAUAAACUGAAGUUUGAGCCAGAAGAAAGUCCUGGAGGAUGGCAGCAUAGCCCUGCAGCAGGCUAAGGUCUGGUGACCUAUAUGUGAAAGUGUGACUGACAGCAGUUGUGAUUGCAAAACAAAUUGGAGAAGAAAUGAAGAAACGCCUCAUGCUGAGGUUGUGAGAUGGGGAGGAGUGAGGAUGAAACUAGUUUGUUGCAUAGUGCAAAAAUGUCUCUCUCUCUCUUAGCAACAUCUUCCACUUAUGAAAGGCAAUAUUGUUCUCUCCAAGCACUCAAGUGAAAACUUAGAAAUGAAAAGUCAGAGAGACAACUGAGUGAUCUGUGUAUGGAUGCUACUGCUGCCUCCAGAAGAAAAAAUGAAUACCUAGUCAGAGUAAUAAGCUUACAAGACUCUGGCUACUGUUACUUUCCUUCAACCUGAGCACUUCUACUGGAACAGAAGAAGGAUAUUCAAAAUCUUCCUGUCUCCUGGAAAGUCCAUGGAGUUGGAGGCAGUAUCUUGGAAACCUUGCUUAGGAUUAAAGGACUACUGGCAGAUAUCUUAGGACUAAAAUGCAGAGCUUUGUCAGAGUGGAGAAGCUGAGACUGGUUAAUACUCAGAUGAGGUGUGGAAGUUCCAGUCUGGUUUUGUAAUUUAGAAGCCCUACUGGAUGACAUGAAUGAGAGAAGGAUUUUCUUGGCAACACCAGGCGGUAGUCAUUCCUGAACAAACAAGAUUGAAAUUUAUGUCUCACUGAAGCAAUACUGGAAGCCUGUUUGACGCGCUGCACGGAGGCAGUUUCCAGCGCUCUCCACCAGAGGAAUUUCCUCCGACUGCUGGAGCGUUGUUGCAACAUCCUUUUCACCCCUUUGGCUUCAGGGGGACUGGGCUGCUGUGCCAGAGCUGACUGCUUUACCUUUCGGGACCCUGUGCUUUGCCCCCACGCUACAAGGCUCCAACCUAGUAAUGAAGACAUGAUUUCUGCAGUGAUGACUUAUUGAUGAAGAAACUAGAAACAGCUCAGAAUAACAAGUGCCAAAGAAAAAAGUUCAGCUGUGGCUCCUACAAGGGUAAGAUGCAAACCCCUCUUGAGAAGUGAAAAAGGUGAAGAGCUUAUCUUGAAUAUUUCACUGCAAGUAUCAUAGU